UUGGCCCCUGUACGGGAAUGAGGGCCUCGGGUGGGCAGGAUGGCUCCUGUCCCCCCGGGGCUCUCGCCCUUCGUGGGGCCC
rfam:Hepatitis C virus strain RF1_2k/1b, N687 polyprotein gene, complete cds